rnacentral:lncRNA from 1 species
AUUGAAGUUGUAUUCUAAUUAUAGGAAAAUGGUAAUCUCUUGCUCACAGAUAAAAGAGGGACGAAAGUUACCAAAGGGACAGUCAAACUCAUAAAUCUAAAACAAACUGACAACGCCAUGGCUAAAAAUGAAAAAGACAAACAAACAACAGCACACACGACACAACAUAGAAAACUAAAGAAUAAACAACACGAACCCCAC